rnacentral:rRNA from 1 species
GACGAGCCUCACAAACGUUAUUCGGAAUUACUGGGCUUAAAGGGUGCGUAGGCUGCGCGGAAAGUUGGGUGUGAAAUCCCUCGGCUCAACCGAGGAACUGCGCCCAAAACUACCGUGCUCGAGGAAGAUAGAGGUGAGCGGAACUUACGGUGGAGCGGUGAAAUGCGUUGAUAUCGUAAGGAACACCCGUGGCGAAAGCGGCUCACUGGGUCUUUUCUGACGCUGAUGCACGAAAGCUAGGGUAGCGAACGGG